rnacentral:rRNA from 1 species
AACGAACGCUGGCGGCAUGCCUAACACAUGCAAGUCGAACGAGACCUUCGGGUCUAGUGGCGCACGGGUGCGUAACGCGUGGGAACCUGCCCUUAGGUUCGGAAUAACUCCCCGAAAGGGGUGCUAAUACCGGAUAAUGUCUUCGGACCAAAGAUUUAGCGCUUUUGGAUGGGCCCGCGUUGGAUUAGCUAGUUGGUGGGGUAAAAGCCUACCAAGGCGACGAUCCAUAGCUGGUCUGAGAGGAUGAUCAGCCACACUGGGACUGAGACACGGCCCAGACUCCUACGGGAGGCAGCAGUGGGGAAUAUUGGACAAUGGGCGAAAGCCUGAUCCAGCAAUGCCGCGUGAGUGAUGAAGGCCUUAGGGUUGUAAAGCUCUUUUACCCGGGAUGAUAAUGACAGUACCGGGAGAAUAAGCUCCGGCUAACUCCGUG